rnacentral:snRNA from 1 species
GUGCUCACUUCGGCAGCACAUAUACUAAAAUUGAAACAAUACAGAGAAGAUUAGCAUGGCCCCUGUGCAAGGAUGACAUGCAAAUUCAUGAAGAGUUCCAUAUUUAA